GUCGCAGGCUCACCGAUCCCUCUGUGCAGCCUAUGUUGAGCUCUACUGCUUUUUCUCAGGACCUCUGAUUAUCAGUGGGACAGGAUGGGCCACUACAGAAUGUUAACAAGAAGAGGCACUUGUCUUACAUAACAAGGACCCCAUGUGAGACAAAUUGUUUUUCCAUGUGACUGUGUGACAUCAUCAGG